AUCAACCAUCCAAUCGGAUAAUGAACUCUAAUGUGUGUGACCUCAUAGGUCCAAACCUAAGCCGGUAGCAUAGAAAUAAAUUUCUGUACCAAUCGAAGUGACCAUCUAGCAAUGGUACCCGACGACCGGAUAGGUCGAAUGUGUAGAACAACAUCCUUAGAACCCAUGCGGAUAUAGUUUUCAUAUAAUUCAUCCCCUUGACCAAAAUGAUCAUAGGACACCCCAAAGUUCAACUGUCAACUCUGAUCAGGUUGUCCACAUUGUAUUUCAAAAUAUCAAAUCCAUCUAAUGGAUUACCCUAGCCAAGGUUUUGCCAAAUUGAAAUACAGUGACUCAUUCUUCUCCAACUCUUGGAGUGGUCAAUCCCAU
rnacentral:lncRNA from 1 species